AUACGAAGGUGGCUAGCGUUGUUCGGAAUUACUGGGCGUAAAGCGCGCGUAGGCGGACUGAUCAGUUGGGGGUGAAAUCCCAGGGCUUAACCCUGGAACUGCCUCCAAUACUGUCAGUCUUGAGUUCGGGAGAGGUGAGUGGAAUUCCUAGUGUAGAGGUGAAAUUCGUAGAUAUUAGGAAGAACACCAGUGGCGAAGGCGGCUCACUGGCCCGAUACUGACGCUGAGGCGCGAAAGCGUGGGGAGCAAACAGGAUUAGAUACCCCAGUAGUCC
rnacentral:rRNA from 1 species